rnacentral:rRNA from 1 species
UAUGCGCCGAUCGCCUUGAGUUGAUCAUGGCUCAGAGUGAACGCUGGCGGCGUGCUUACACAUGCAAGUCGAACGCGAAAGGGUAGCAAUACCCGAGUAGAGUGGCGAACGGGUGAGUAACAUGUGGGUAAUCUGCCUUUCAGAGUGGGAUAACCCGGCGAAAGCUGGGCUAAUACCGCGUAACAUUUUAGAGUUUAAGGACUUUAAGAUCAAAACAUGGCCUCUGUUUACAAGCUAUGGCUGAGAGAUGAGCCCACAUCCUAUCACGCUUGUUGGUGGGGUAAUGGCCCACCAAGGCGACGACGGGCAGCCGGCCUGAGAGGGCGACCGGCCACAGUGGAACUGAGACACGGUCCACACUCCUACGGGAGGCAGCAGUGAGGAAUCUUGCGCAAUGGGCGAAAGCCUGACGCAGCGACGCCGCGUGGACGAUGAAGGCCUUCGGGUCGUAAAGUCCUGUCGGGUGGGAAGAAUUGGCUUGGGGCUAAUAUCCCCAGGCCUUGACUGUACCACCAGAGGAAGCCCCGGCUAACUCCGUGCCAGCAGCCGCGGUAAUACGGAGGGGGCCAGCGUUGCUCGGAAUUAUUGGGCGUAAAGGGCGCGUAGGCGGUCGGGUAAGUUUGAUGUGAAAUCCCACGGCUUAACCGUGGAAUGGCAUCUUAUACUGCCCGGCUAGAGUCUGGGAGAGGGAAGUGGAAUUCCCGGUGUAGCGGUGAAAUGCGUAGAUAUC